rnacentral:rRNA from 1 species
UACGUAGGGUGCAAGCGUUAAUCGGAAUACUGGGCGUAAAGCGUGCGCAGGCGGUGAUGUAAGACAGAUGUGAAAUCCCCGGGCUCAACCUGGGAACUGCAUUUGUGACUGCAUCGCUGGAGUGCGGCAGAGGGGGGGGUGGAAUUCCACGUGUAGCAGUGAAAUGCGUAGAGAUGUGGAGGAACUCCGAUUGCGUAGGCAGCUAACUAGGCGUAACUGACGCUGAAGGCACGAAAGCGUGGGGAGCG